GCACUGCUGACGAGUGCCAAACAGGAUGAAACAGCCGUUCAGUGC
rnacentral:hammerhead_ribozyme from 1 species